rnacentral:rRNA from 1 species
UACGGGGGGGGCAAGCGUUGUUCGGAAUUACUGGGCGUAAAGGGCUCGUAGGUGGCUAACUAAGUCAGACGUGAAAUCCCUCGGCUUAACCGAGGAACUGCGUCUGAUACUGGAUGGCUUGAGUCCUGGAGAGGGUAGCGGAAUUCCCAGUGUAGAGGUGAAAUUCGUAGAUAUUGGGAGGAACACCGGUGGCGAAGGCGGCUACCUGGACAGUGACUGACGCUGAGACGCGAAAGCAUGGGUAGCAAACAGG